UGGGGAAUUUUGGACAAUGGGCGCAAGCCUGAUCCAGCCAUGCCGCGUGCAGGAUGAAGGCCUUCGGGUUGUAAACUGCUUUUGUACGGAACGAAAAGGUGCCUUCUAAUAAAGGGCGCUCAUGACGGUACCGUAAGAAUAAGCACCGGCUAACUACGUGCCAGCAGCCGCGGUAAUACGUAGGGUGCGAGCGUUAAUUGGAAUUACUGGGCGUAAAGCGUGCGCAGGCGGUUUUGUAAGACAGAGGUGAAAUCCCCGGGCUCAACCUGGGAACUGCCUUUGUGACUGCAAGGCUGGAGGGCGGCAGAGGGGGAUGGAAUUCCGCGUGUAGCAGUGAAAUGCGUAGAUAUGCGGAGGAACACCGAUGGCGAAGGCAAUCCCCUGGGCCUGCACUGACGCUCAUGCACGAAAGCGUGGGGAGCAAACA
rnacentral:rRNA from 1 species